rnacentral:piRNA from 1 species
UGGGANUUUGAGGUCAGCCUGGGCUACAU